ensembl:lncRNA
CUGGCAAACACACCUGUGAUUGGUGAGAUUACUGGAAUAACAUUGCUGCACCCAUAGAAGGCCCGACUCUCAGUCUCCAUUUAUUGCGCAAAUGAUUUCAUUGCCAUAUCUGCCAUUUGUUUGCGUUGGCCCGUGUAAAAUCAUAUCUCGUGUGUUGAUGGAUUACACGAUGGAGCCAGUAUGUGUCAUAUUAUGCAAGCUAUCAAAACCGCACUAGGUAAGAAAUCAAAUAGCAGUGAUUGUUUCCAACUGUGUUUUAUGAUUAAUCCAGACUUGUAAUGCUGAUUCAUAUCUUUUAGGAGUUUUUUCUGACUCUGCUGGCAGAUCUAUCGUCAACCACUCUCACCUCCGGGUUUGUUUGUGGUCUGGAUAGAUCCUUAUCAGCACAGGAGCCCUGUAGACUAAAGAGGGAUUGGGCUUGAUUUGUACUUCCCUCUUGACAAAUGACAUAAAUACACAUUAAGCAGUGAAAGCAUUUGUUUUAGGAACUCUUUAAAACACCUCCAGAGGCCAAGAAAUGCUCCAUAAAACAAAGACGUUGCAGUGCUUUUUAAGAUGGGAUGGGGAGUGGGGUGCAGAGGCAUGGAGUUGAGGUUUUGGAUGGCAGCAGAGGAACUCUGACCACAUGAAGACGCCUAGUAGCUUGCUCUGAAAGAUUUUGACUUUGUCAUUUCACAUCAUUUCAUUUCAUUUAUUUCAGGGUCUGAUGGUCUCAACCUCAGAUGUCAUACCCUUGGGCUGGCAAGAGUUUGUUUGAUCUUCGUCUGAUUAUAAUUGCACACUGGAAAGCAUUUCUUGAUCAGGGUUUUGGUGGUCUCCAGGAAGAGGGGGACGGAAAGGUUCACUUACAGGCUAUGAAUGACUCCAAUCAAAUGACUACUCUGCUAUGGCCUUCUCUCAGUAACAGACAACAUACUCAAAAGAGACCCAGUUUUUGCUGUCAAAGCCUUUAUUCUGGGUACGAUCGAGACGGUGGUUUGAAUAUGGCUGACGGCCUCAAAUAUCACCCAGGUAUUACAUUUCAAAACAGAAGCAAAUAUUUGAUGGGUUUACAAAGGAGCUCAAUGUUUCAGACAAGAACGAUUACCUGUGGGUGUUAUUUCAACUGUGAGAAAGCACUUAGAGAUGAUAUAGAUCAGAGCUUAGCUUACACAGUUGCAUACAACACUGAGCUAUCAUAAAGAUAAUUUUCCCUAAAAAGAGGGAAACCAUGCUCUGAAGUCUGUAGUAUUUGUCCUGCCACAGAUACCUUGUUUUCCAUCUCACAUGUCUGUUCUUAGACAGACAUCUCUGUCGGGAGAUCAGUAGACUUCAGAUCCCAUCCCAUUGAGACUUUAAGUGUCUUACUUUGCUUCAACACGCA